GACGAACCGUCCAAACGUUGUUCGGAAUCACUGGGCUUAAAGGGCGCGUAGGCGGGCUGCCAAGUCAGGGGUGAAAUCUUUCGGCCCAACCGGAAAAGUGCUUUUGAUACUGGCAGUCUCGAGUGAGGUAGGGGCGCGUGGAACUGGUGGUGGAGCGGUGAAAUGCGUAGAUAUCACUAGGAACGCCGGUGGCGAAAGCGACGCGCUGGACCUUUUCUGACGCUGAGGCGCGAAAGCCAGGGGAGCAAACGGG
rnacentral:rRNA from 1 species